UGUCAGGGAAGGUUGGCUGAAUGGUUUGUAGACUGUACGUGUGUGCAUACGUGUGUGUGUGUGUGUGUGUGUGUGUGUGUUAAAGAUCAGCUAUUCUGAAGUCUCUUUCCAAAGCUUAGCUAGACUCUAAAGCAGAAGACUGGAUGGCUUGUACUGCCAUUGUGGGAGGGAAGAAGCAGAAUUGUUGGGAGUCAUUUUUAUCACAGAGCUCACAGGCAGUCCUGAAUUUGAAAUUGAUUGGAAGAAUUCAAAGCCCAGUGGUAUCAAAGACCCAUCACCUGAGAAACCUAAGAACUAACAACAUGGCUUCUUCAUCAGGAAUUGUCUCUAUUUCUUGCAGCAGAUCCAAAUGCCUUUCAGCUCCUCUCUGCAUAGUUGAUAAUUCAGAAGCUUUCCCCUAUGCAGUAAUUAAAGGUGAAUUUUCCAACUCUGUUGGAAAACCUCCUCAAUUUAGCUCUGACAGGUUGUAUUUUAUAAUGAGGUGAAAGGAUAUCACCGCUGGAGAAAAAAACACACCCAUGGACUCUGCUACUCACAAAAGGCUGUCAAGUAGGAUAUGCUUCAAUGUAGUGACUCAUUGUGAGAGAAAUGCUCCUGUUUGGUUCCAGAUUUGCCCUGGCAUAUUUGUAUUCUCAGAACAAACAGCGGGGAAGAAACCAGGAAACUCUUAAAACAGUUAAACUUGCUCUAACAGCUCAGGCUCUUUCCCCCUCAGAGAUGCCCACACCAGAAUUCCAUAGCCAUAAAUGGUCCUUCAUUACUUCUCUGCUGCCCAUUCAGAAGAUGCCUAAUUAAAGCCAAGCCUUUUGUAUUAAAGGCAGGGCAGGCAUGAAGGAGAGACUACUCUAAUUUUCUCCAGCAUGACUGUAAAUGCUGAGGGUUCUUAUCAACAACAAUCUUUUCUUAGAUCCUACUGGUGGGUCUUCAAUCCCUGUUUUUCCCCCAGAGUUUGUUUUUUUCUUUGAACACAAUUGGUAAAAUUAGAGUGAUUAUCUUUACAGAAGAAAGAAAGAAGGAAAGGAAGGAAGGAAAGAAGGAAAAGAAGAAAGGAAGAAAAAAGAAAGAAAACAAACCACAUAGGCUUAUUUCCUGUUCAAAUUUAUACCUGAGUAUUUGAAGAAAUGCUAUUACAUUGAUUGGCUCUUUGGAGGAAGGAGGAAAGGGAGAGGAUAGUAAAGAAAAAAUUCAUUCCAGGCUGGUGCUGUCAGGCCAAGGUCAGUUCACAGCUUUUGGUGCCACCUCUAAUGGGGCAACUUCCCUUCCCAAG
rnacentral:lncRNA from 1 species